rnacentral:misc_RNA from 1 species
GAUGAAGAACGCAGCGAAAUGCGAUAAGUAGUGUGAAUUGCAGAAUUCAGUGAAUCAUCGAAUCUUUGAACGCACAUUGCGCCCUUUGGUAUUCCAAAGGGCAUGCCUGUUCGAGCGUCAUUUGUACCCUCAAGCUUUGCUUGGUGUUGGGCGUCUUGUCUCUAGCUUUGCUGGAGACUCGCCUUAAAGUAAUUGGCAGCCGGCCUACUGGUUUCGGAGCGCAGCACAAGUCGCACUCUCUAUCAGCAAAGGUCUAGCAUCCAUUAAGCCUUUUUUUCAACUUUUGACCUCGGAUCAGGUAGGGAUACCCGCUGAACUUAAGCAUAUCAUUAAGCGGAGGA